rnacentral:ncRNA from 15 species
GUGGUGACCCUGUACUUUACCAACAUUUAUUCUGGUUCUUUGGUCAACGGAUGGCCCAAAAUAAAGAUUGCAAUGUGCUAUAAGCUGGAAAUCUAUGUAUUCAAUUUUAAAUACUUCCACGUAAAAAUUUUAAAUAUUGGUAGAUAAUCAGCUGGUAACCAAUUAUCCUUUUAAAUAAUAUUAUCCUUUUAAUAUGGAAUAUUUUAUUAUGGAUUUAGUAGGAACCUCAGAGACUAUAUGCACAUCACUUUAUUUUUAAAGUGAAGAGAUAGUCCAAAAAUAUUUACAUUUUUAAAUAUUUGCAUCCAGAGGUCAAUUUUAUAGGCCUCUUAACGUUGCUAUA